rnacentral:lncRNA from 1 species
CCAAUGUUUUGUGACCUCGCCCUACUUUUUCUCGACCUCGGCCUAAUGGUAGGAAUGCAUGCAAAUUCAACAUUAUAUUUAUAUAUGCAUGGCAUGCAUGUUGGCAGAACACAUUCAGUUGAGUUUUGUUAUGGAGUUUAAUAUAUAUAUAUAUUCAAAAUAGGUAGUAGGCUUCAGCCUAUGGACAUGGUGGCGUGAGGAAUCAUGAUUUGCUUCAAGGUACCAAGCUAGUAGAAGUUAUGGUUUGCUUUCAUUUCAUGUCAGAACACAAUUGGAAAGAGUGAGAAGUCAUGGUUUGCUUUCAUGUCAUGUCAAAACACAAUUGAGAAGACAAAAGUUUUGCUUAUUUAUUUAGGCCGAGCUCGACCAAUUCGUCGAAUAUACUCGGCCGAAUCUGGGUUUUAUUAUUGUUUUGCUCAGCCAAUUUUUGCCAAGCUCGGCGGACAAGAGUUGGUGUUCGGCAGUAAAAUCAUGGGUCUCUUCUCUUCCAUAGCAUGAUAUCUACAGUAAAAGGCUAUCUAAAUGGGGAAGAAGAAGGCCCUUGGCGUUUCAUAGACUUUUGUGCCGCAGCAAGGUGGGGAAGAAGAAGGCCCUUGGCGUUUCAUGCUUGCAGAUUGGAGCGUUUUAGGUGUACUUCGUUCUUGUUUUCAAUGUUUAUUUUGUUAUUACUUUCUGAUUUUGCUGUAAUCAUGAGUGGCUAAACCCCUAAUUAGUUAAGGGGAAGUUGAAGCCAUGAACAUGCUUGAGAUAUGAAUUGAUUUCUUCCAAUUGUGAUUUGUUAAGUUAUGAUUGCAAUUCAAUUAUCUAUUUUAGUCAUAACUGAUUCUUGUAUGUUUAUUGAGGAUGCAUACUUAGUUUUCAUGCUUGAAUUAGACGCUAGAAUAUAAAUGAGUUUCACCUAAUCGUUACAAGUUUAUAUUCAUUAGUAGUGAAGGUUGCUUAUCACAAUCGCGUUAAUUGAAUUCUUGGCAAACGUAUCGUGCAUUCAUAGUUACAAUUGCCUCGUCAACACUUAUGAUUUUCAUGAAACGUAAUGACCUCUGAUUGUAUCUCUAUUAUGCAUUCAUGUAAGGGACUUUUAGAGAAUGAUUUGGGUUGCUGCAUGCAUUCAUCCAAUCCAAUGAGUAAAGGAAAAUCUGAGGGUUAAUUUGUGCAUCACGGUUAAUCUAGUGUGUUGAGCAUCAUAAUCUAUUGAAAAGUAAUUGGAAAUCGAUUCAUGUACAAAUGUGUCAUGUGUGAAGAACGGACCUCUAACUAAUCCAUCCAUUAUCUUAUUUCUUAAAUUCAUUUUACAAUCUGCCUAGUUUUAUAACUUGUUUGUUUGCUUGUUUCAAAUUCGUCCAAAUCAAUACCCCCCUUUUACUUUCUGGUUUCAAAGUGUUCAAUUUAUGUUUUGUUUGUGUUUUUGAGUGUUUUGAUUCAAGCCAAAACACUAAAUUCGUCCAAAAUUGUGCUAAGGUCAGAAUCUGCCCAGAUUGUGUUUUUAAGCAGUUUUGAGUGUUUUUAAGCUAUUUUGAGUCUUUUGAAUCUGUUUUGAGUUCCUUGAGUCUAUUCAAGCGUUUUUAACUUUGUUUUUAUGUUUUUGAGUCAGUUUAGAGGUUUUAGCAAGCCCUCCUAAUCCCCGGUUUAGAACGAUCCCUACUUGCAUUUAUACUACGAUUUGACAACAAGAGGGUUUAAUUUGAGUGCUUAACUUUUAUCACAUCAGCGCGCCACGUAGGCUUAGUAGUUUUUAGGGUCAACAGUAACAUACAACUUGUGUUGAUAAAAGUUCAAUAAAUAAAUAAAUAAAUAAAUAAAAUCAUUAAUAAAACGAUACCUAAUUAAUUGAAAAUAUACAGUGACAAUUUGUUUUUUUUAAACAAAGGACACAAUAGUUCUAUGGCCGUUAACAAUUCUCUCACACGACACUAAAGUUGUGCGGCAAUUCAUCAUUUUUCGUUGGCGGCGCAUGAAGGCUAACUCCAACCAAUGGCCUAAAACCUAUAAUUCCCCUUCUAUUCUCCCCCAAUCCAUUCCAACUAAGUUCUAAUUUGGACCUAAAACCUAAAACCUAAAAAAAACCAGAUUUAGGCCAGGAUUUAGGCCAAGAUUAGUGGUGGAACCCCCACCCACAUGGUUGUGUCUCCCACUUGUCUGCCUAUAAAAUUGAGCCCAACAGCUCUUUUGGUUUUGCUCACAUUUAAAUGAGAUGUUGGUUAUCCAACGGUCCACAUUUAAUUUAGUUAAUAUUUUUGUUUUAUAUUUAUAAAUUUAUUGAAUCCAAUGACUUAGAUCAAAUAUGAUCAAAUUUAACAGUAAAAAAAAAAAUCUAAUUGUCCAAAUUUAAAUUCAACGGUUAAAAUAAUUAUAAAAAAAUAUUUAACUCAAAAUUCACUCAAAAACUCUAUAAAUAUCUAUAUAUUUGUUGAAACAUCCACACAAAACUCACUUUUCUCCUACAAUUCUCCCAAUUUUUCUUUCUACCAUCUUCCAAAACCAUGUGUUUGUUCAUGUGUCUUGUGUUUAUACAUCUCUAUCAUGUCUUUCAUAUUCUUAUAUAGUGUUUCAUGAGUUUCAUGUGUCGGUUUUAGUGAUUUUUUUAAUAUUUAUCGGAAUUUAAAUAUUUUUAGGUUAAAAUGUUCAUAAAAUUAAUUUAGGAUAGUCUACAUAAUUUUUUUUCAAGUUAAUUUAAAAAAAUUAGCCUAAAUUCAUUCUUUAAUAAUAUGGGGUUAAAAUUUUAGGUCAUAAGGGUUGGAGUAGAAAAGCUGUUUCUUGGUUAAAACCUAAAUUUUCAGGGCUAAAAAUUUUAGAUUUUAGGCCAAGGGUUGGAGAUGGUCUAAGGAGUAAGCACCUCCCAGUUGUUUUUUUUUUUUUUUUUUUAAAAAAAAAACCACUUUAAGUACUUCUACUUCAAACUUAAAGCAAUUUUGCAAAUUUUGCCAAAAUACCGUAAUUUAAAGUGCAAUGCUUUUACUUCUUAGCACUUUGACUUUCCCAAAAACACAUUCAAACAAGCCCAAACUUUUUGUAUGAUUGUAUUGGCUUCAAUAUGACCUUUAGUGAUGCUGAUGCGACUUCUUUGCAUUAAGAGGAGUAAUAAAAAAGGAAAACUAAUGAAAAUGACUUGAAAACUUUGAGUUUUAAUCAAAAGGACAAAAAGGUGUUGUAAGUGAAUAGUAUCAGGAGUGAUUUUUUAGAGUAAAAAUGUCAUUUUCGCUAACAGUGAACAAUACUAGGAGUGUUUCGUUAAAACUUUCAUAAAAAUCAUCUUCCAACUAAAGAAAAUGCAAAAUACUAAAUUAUACUAAUGACAUCAAAUUCAAAUUUUUCAACAGAUAAACUAUGAACCAGUCACUAACACUAUAAUGGGUAAAUUACAAUUUACCACCUUGGGUUUGAGAUUUAUUGCAACCUCAUACAAUAUCUUCAAAACAUUUCACUUUCAUACUUCAUGUACUAUUUUAUUUCAAAAUAAUACCUCCAUUACAUUUUCCAUCCAUUAGUCUGUUAAGAGCUGACGUGGCUAUCACAUUUAUGCCAUGUGGCUAAACACUUGAUAAAUUUUUUUUAAUAAUAAUCCCAGAAACCCAUUCCCCCGAUCUCUCUGCAACUCCAACCCUCUCUUCCUCCAUUUUCACCUCCCUC